rnacentral:rRNA from 1 species
GCAGUCGGACGGUAACGGGUAAGUACUUGUACUUAUGCUGACGAGUGGCGGACGGGUGAGUAAUGCUUGGGAAUCUGUCUUAUGGAGGGGGAUAACGACGGGAAACUGUCGCUAAUACCGCGUAGAGUCGGGAGACGAAAGUGCGGGACUUAAUGGCCGCAUGCCAUGAGAUGAGCCCAAGUGUGAUUAGGUAGUUGGUGGGGUAAAGGCCUACCAAGCCGACGAUCGCUAGCUGGUCUGAGAGGAUGGCCAGCCACACCGGGACUGAGACACGGCCCGGACUCCUACGGGAGGCAGCAGUGGGGAAUAUUGCGCAAUGGGGGCAACCCUGACGCAGCCAUGCCGCGUGAAUGAAGAAGGCCUUCGGGUUGUAAAGUUCUUUCGGUGGUGAGGAAGGGAUGUUGUUUAAUAGAUAACAUCAUUGACGUUAACUACAGAAGAAGCACCGGCUAACUCCGUGCCAGCAGCCGCGGUAAUACGGAGGGUGCGAGCGUUAAUCGGAAUAACUGGGCGUAAAGGGCACGCAGGCGGACCUUUAAGUGAGGUGUGAAAUCCCCGGGGCUUAACCUGGGAAUUGCAUUUCAUACUGGGGGUCUGGAGUACUUUAGGGAGGGGUAGAAUUCCACGUGUAGCGGUGAAAUGCGUAGAGAUGUGGAGGAAUACCGAAGGCGAAGGCAGCCCCUUGGGGAUGUACUGACGCUGAUGUGCGAAAGCGUGGGGAGCAAACAGGAUUAGAUACCCUGGUAGUCCACGCUGUAAACGGUGUCGAUUUGGGGAUUGGGGUUUAGCCUUGGUGCCCGAAGCUAACGUGAUAAAUCGACCGCCUGGGGAGUACGGCCGCAAGGUUAAAACUCAAAUGAAUUGACGGGGGCCCGCACAAGCGGUGGAGCAUGUGGUUUAAUUCGAUGCAACGCGAAGAACCUUACCUACUCUUGACAUCCAUGGAAUCCUGUAGAGAUACGGGAGUGCCUUUGGGAACCAUGAGACAGGUGCUGCAUGGCUGUCGUCAGCUCGUGUUGUGAAAUGUUGGGUUAAGUCCCGCAACGAGCGCAACCCUUAUCCUUUGUUGCCAGCGACUUGGUCGGGAACUCAAAGGAGACUGCCGGUGAUAAACCGGAGGAAGGUGGGGAUGACGUCAAGUCAUCAUGGCCCUUACGAGUAGGGCUACACACGUGCUACAAUGGCGUAUACAGAGGGUAACCAACCGGUGAUGGGGAGUGAAUCUCAAAAAGUACGUCUAGUUCGGAUG